AGAAAAGGUCCUGGAAGAAAUUAGUGAACGUUGUUGUGUCAGGUGCAGCCGGAAUGAUAUCAAAUCAUCUGCUUUUAAAACUUGCCUCCGGUGAGAUUUUUGGACAGGACCAACCAAUAACACUCAAAAUUAUUGGUCUCCGAAAGAUCAUUAUAAGCACUAGAAGGUGAUAUGCCAGCCAACUUGGAAGACCUUCAGAAGAGAAGGGAGUUGAUUAGCUUUGAUGACAGCCGGCUGUAAGAAGGAAAACAUUUUUUUUGGGAAUCUAUGUUUGUGAUUUUGGGUACUAGGGCCUAGGAGUUUUACUGUUGUA